ensembl:snRNA U6 U6 spliceosomal RNA
GUGCACACUUUGGCAGCACAUGUACUAAAACUGGAAUGAUACAGAGAAGAUUAAUAUCACCUCUGUGCAAAACUCACGCACGCAAAUUCCUGAAGCAUUCCAUAUUUAA